AACAAACGCUGGCGGCGUGUCUUAAGCAUGCAAGUUGAGCGGCAAGGAGGAGAGAUCCUCCCUAGAGCGGCGGACUGGUGAGUAACGCGUGGGUAAUCUAUCGUAGGCAUGGGGAUAGUCACUAGAAAUAGUGGGUAAUACCGAAUACGUUCCAUGAGGGGAGUAUUCAUGGAAGAAAGGGUGCUACGGCACUGGCCUUAGGUGAGCUCGCGUCCCAUUAGCUAGUUGGUGAGGUAAAGGCCCACCAAGGCGAUGAUGGGUAGCCGGCCUGAGAGGGUGUACGGCCACACUGGGACUGAGAUACGGCCCAGACUCCUACGGGAGGCAGCAGCUAAGAAUAUUCCGCAAUGGACGAAAGUCUGACGGAGCGACGCCGCGUGGAUGAAGAAGGCCGAAAGGUUGUAAAGUUCUUUUGCUUAGGGGAGAAUAAGUGAGGAAGGGAAUGCCCUCAUGAUGACAAGGACUAGCGAAUAAGCCCCGGCAACUACGUGCCAGCAGCCG
rnacentral:rRNA from 1 species